AAUUCUCCUAAGGGAACAUGAUUGUGAAGCUUUAGAGCUCUGACUGUCCUGGAGAAUACAAGAGACCCAAGAUCAUGCCUGGACGGAUUUAUCUGGUUGGCUGAGGAAUGAUUUCACUUCCUGCUUAUGCAGCUGACAGAAACAAGCACCCAGAAAGGAAAACCAGUUACCAGUUCUUCACAGUGACAUCAGUAAUUUCCUGCCUCUUCGAAGAUCAGCAGUCAAGGUAUAAGACACGAUGUACUUCCUUACAGACACGAUGUACUUCCUUACUGCAGACACUGCUUCAAGCUUCUGCUGUCACAGCUAGAGCCGCUCUGACCACUAUGCUUCCCUGCCAUGAUGGACAGCACCCUCAUGCGUAAACUAAAGACUUUGUGUUCGGUGCAUCACAGCUACUCAUCGGUGUCAUUGACAUUUGUCUUUUUGGGACUACCUGUAAACACCAGUGGUGGAUAGCUUUAGGGUCAACUUGACACACCUGGGUUGAGGGAGCCUCAGAUGAGAAUUUCCUCCAUUGAACUGGCCUGUGGCUAUGUCUGUGGGGUAUUCUCUUGAUUUCUGAGUGAUG